CAAAGCGACGAAUCAUUGUACCAACAAAGAGAUGAUUAACCAAAGAACCCAAACAAAAUCAAUAGAAAUCAAACCAACAAAACUAAACCAAAAGCCAAAGAGAACUUUUAACGAACACUUCCUGUAUCAGCCGCCACUUUAUCUCCUCCGACAACGAGGAUCUUCUCAUAGGUGUCGAUGAAGGUGAUUGAUAUGUGGGGAUUGAGGAGAAAUCAGGUCCUUCUAUGUUUUCUAAUGUGGAGAGUAGAAUAUUGAAUAGCUUCAUCAUGGUAAUCAAUGUCAAACCCUUCAGCAAUUAAUGGUGACUAUAAAGUAUACUCAAAUUGCUGAGAUUUUAGGAGCUGUAAAACCAUUUGAGAGUUGGCUCUUGAUAACAAUCAUGAACCAUUUUAUGUGUUCUAAUGUGGAGAGCAGAAUAUUGAAUAGCUUCAUCAUGAUGCAGAAACAGGGGAAGUGUGAUUUCUUACCGAGGGAUAAUCAUAUUCACUCUUUAAAUCUAUAGAGUAAGUCAAAUGCGAAAG